UACGUAGGGUGCGAGCGUUAAUCGGAAUUACUGGGCGUAAAGCGUGCGCAGGCGGUGAUGUAAGACCGAUGUGAAAUCCCCGGGCUUAACCUGGGAACUGCAUUGGUGACUGCAUUGCUGGAGUAUGGCAGAGGGGGGUGGAAUUCCACGUGUAGCAGUGAAAUGCGUAGAGAUGUGGAGGAACACCGAUGGCGAAGGCAGCCCCCCUGGGCCAAUACUGACGCUCAUGCACGAAAGCGUGGGGAGCAAACAGG
rnacentral:rRNA from 1 species